GUUGAUGUGAUCCACCAGGUCCUGCAGCGAGUCGAACAGCAGGUGGCACUGCAGCACAGGAGGAGGGGGAGAGACGCAACCGUCACAGGCAUUCAACUGAAAACAUCCCGAGCAGCUCAUGUCGUACUAAACCUCGGCAGGCUAGCUGACCGUCCAGUGAGGGCUCCGGUGACACCUGCUUCUCCCGGUUCUGGCCGAUGAACAUGGAGGAGGGGAAGCUGUAGCCCCGCGGCGGGCUUCCAAUGGGCAGGUAGAACGGAAAACCCUGCGGUGAAGCUCCGCCCUCCAGGCCUUGAUGACGGGCUGCUUCCUGAAAGCGAAGAAGAAGGAGAGGAAAACACCAAUGCGUGUGUUUGUAUAAUUAGUAUUUGGAUUUGUGUUUGAGUUUGAUUGCGCUAAUUUAAAACCAUAAUUAUGUAGCGUUUCUUUGCAUCUGAUUUGACUUCUUAUUUAAUUACUUCAAAUAUGUAACACAACAACAACAAACUUGUUCAAAUUGUGGUAACAUUCCAAUUAAAAAGACUAACAGGAAGUCCCCCCCCCCCCCCAAAAAAAAAUCUAACAAAUCUACGAUUUGGGGAAUAUAAGAGAUCAUCUUUUGUCUUGUUGAUACAAGAUUUAUGGGGAAAAAAACCAACACAUUGUUGAACUUUCAAGUCAGACAACAUUCAUAGAUAACGCUAAUAUUACUGGCUACAUAUAAAAUAGUGGAUGAGAGAAAAAGAAAACAGUUUAGUUCAAUGUACUUUUCUGUCACUGUGUUUUAAAGGAAUUAAACAUGUUAUUAACAUGUCCAGCAUUGGAAUAAAAUGACAAAUUGAAAAGUGA